GUGCCUGCUUUGGCAGGACAUAUACUAAAAUUGGAAAGAUACAGAGAAGAUGAACAUGGCUCCUGGGUACGGAUGAUAGAUAAAUUCACGAAGAAUUCCCUANNNNN
ensembl:snRNA U6 U6 spliceosomal RNA